GCUUUUGUGAUGCCCAGGGUGGACAGAUAUAUCCCCACUACUACUGGGGGGUGGGGGGGUGUGUGCAGCCGAGAGAGGCACUGGGGAGGCAGCCGCAUGGCCUGUACCGGCCUGUGUUACGGAGAGGUGGGGAUGGCAAGGGAAGCGAGACGGAGAGUUGAGGCUUUCACAACCCUACUAGAAAAUCUGUGCCUGGUCUUGUUCUCUCCUGUCAUUUUUUGCACUGCUGCAAAAUAGAUGUGAUUAUCUCUGCCUACUCUUAAUUCUUAGUAACUCUAAUUUAUUUUCUAUUUUAAGAGUUUUGCUGUCAGUCAGUCAGGGAAUAAGUAGCUGUGGCUGUUCCUGAUGCUGGCAUUUAUUGACCAGAAUGGUUAAUUCCUUUAAAACUUCUUUGUGGGCUUUAAAUUCAGUCACACAAGAGCCUUAAUACUUUCACGUGUGUCUAACCCUUCCAUUUAGUCUAAGAGGUGGCUGCCUGGUUUUCAAGCAGGUGAAGUCCAGGGUGUUACAGGGAUACUGAAGAGCAAUGCCAUGGCCAUCUAGUGGACAUUACACAUGACCUUUGCAGGCAUUCCAGCAGAGUUACAGCUGUCCUGAGCUUCACAACUUGUUCUGGUAUUGCAAUAAGAGAAUAAAAAUCAUG